UACGUAGGGUGCAAGCGUUGUCCGGAAUUAUUGGGCGUAAAGGGCUCGUAGGCGGUUUGUCGCGUCGGGAGUGAAAACUCAGGGCUUAACCCUGAGCCUGCUUCCGAUACGGGCAGACUAGAGGUAUGCAGGGGAGAAUGGAAUUCCUGGUGUAGCGGUGAAAUGCGCAGAUAUCAGGAGGAACACCGGUGGCGAAGGCGGUUCUCUGGGCAUUACCUGACGCUGAGGAGCGAAAGCGUGGGUAGCGAACAGG
rnacentral:rRNA from 1 species